rnacentral:rRNA from 1 species
UCGGCUUCCGCCGCGCGGCGGGCGGGGCGGGGGCACGGGGGGAGAAAAGUAGGGGAUCGCAAGACCUUGCGUUAUUCGAGCGGCCGACGUCUGAUUAGCUUGUUGGUGAGGUAAUGGCUCACCAAGGCGACGAUCAGUAGCGGGUCUGAGAGGAUGAUCCGCCACACUGGGACUGAGACACGGCCCAGACUCCUACGGGAGGCAGCAGUGGGGAAUUUUGGACAAUGGGGGCAACCCUGAUCCAGCCAUUCCGCGUGAGUGAAGAAGGCCUUCGGGUUGUAAAGCUCUUUCGGCCGGGAAGAAAUCGUGGUCUCUAACAUAGGCCAUGGAUGACGGUACCGGACUAA